ACGUUUUGGAUAUCGUUUGUGCCAGCAAUGUUGGGGGGGUUAUCGAUAUAUCGCGAGGCGAUGUAUCGGGAGAUAGGAAAUGGCAACUCCAGGGGGGGGGAAAUUUGAAAAUUGCUCCUCCUGUUAAAUAGGAGUUCAAGAAAGAACGUCAAAUUUUUUCACGGGAGGUUACAACGUGGAUUUUUCUGGCUCGAGGAGUUGAAUUUGGAUGAAGGUUGGAGACGGUCGAGAAAAAGAAGAGAAGACUCUACUCCACGUGUUUGCUGCACCCUAAAAUCGUAAACUAACAACAGUGUGAGCAAUGACAAACAACCAUUAAUGGCAACAACGUGCGUGAAAGUAUUAAAAUAAAGUAAAAAAAAACCCCGCGCAGCGAGAUAGCGCCGCACAAGAUCGAGGAGAACCAGAGCAACCUGGACAUACUCAGUGAGGCUCAGAUUAAGGCCGGCGAGAACAAAUACUUCACGCUCAAGAAGCUCCAGUCCGGUUCAACAAAGGCGCGAGUCGCUUUCUUCGAGCAGCAACAACAACAACGAUAGCGCCAGCAACUCUGAAUCGGGCCGCGACGGCAACCGAGAAAAAACCGCAGCAGCAGAGCAUCGCAUCUUCAGCUUCAUAAUCUUGUGAGGGCAACAGUUGAGCGUAACCCAACUCCGCUUGGAGCAAACAAUCUGCGAGGGAGCGAGAAGGAACUUGGCCAAGCGACACCAGCGGCCACAAUCACCGCUGGAUAAGUGCGGGCAACCAUCCGCGAGACACACGGCGCUUUAACGACAGGAGUGGCAUCGACGGCGUGAGACAGCGAGCGCUGAACGACGCAUCCAGCGACGAGCAAGAGGAGGAGCCUGUCCGAGUGAGUUAGUGCGGCGGCGCCAAGCCGUUCCCUGUCCAAUUUUAAUGCGACACCGUCAACUCCCGAUUGAUGACGACCGUCAUCGGCGAUCGUAGAUUUCUCACUCCAAAGAAUUCGUAAUUCAGUCUGAAAAGAAACCAAA